rnacentral:tmRNA from 1 species
CCCCUUCCAAUCGCAACAAGGCUUUCCUAUAUAGGCCCUGUCAGGUCGCACCUGACUAUGGCGAUAAACGGUACGUGGAAUAAGCGUUACGGACCCGGGGGCGGUACCCGGCACCUCCACCAAAUUCUUCCGCCGGCUCGCCGGCCGGCGGAUACUGGGGGUGAAAUAGGAUCGACGUGCGUGGUAAAGACGUGCUUUUUGCUCGGCAUGGUACCACCGUUAUCGGGCCAAUCUCUAUGUGCGAACGAUAACGAAAUCGCACUCGCUGCUUAGAACCUAGGCAAGCGCGGUUCGGGAGGGCACCGGGCAACAGAAGCCCUCCCACU